CCCGCCAAAUCUUGCUCUCUCCUCAUCGUCCCCUCUCGCCGCGUUUCUACCCUUCCGAAUUCUCUCGCUACGUUUUCUUGACGCCACCGCUUCCUUCCCGAUGGUGGCGUCGUGCUUGAGGCCCUGGAUUGCCACCGGAGGUUGGGACGCCCUUAGAUCCGAAGGGAACACUUGGGAUUCCGGCCGUCUCCGAGCGAUCUUUAACGCUCGGUCGAGGGUUUACCGCGCCGAGGGAUGGCGACGCGUCGCUUGGCUACUGUAGUUCCGAUCGGCAUUCCAGGAAUGGACUCGCCGGCGAGAAUCAGCGGUUCGUCGAGUGGUUACGACAGGCGUGGCGGUACAUACGGAGGGCACAGUGGGAGCACGUUCGUGGUGGUAAUAUCGGGGGAGAUCGUGGAUGAUUCUGAGUUGGACAGCAUUCUUCAGGUACCUGGUGGUUCUUCUUCUUCUUCUUGGCUUAUUCUUUUGGAUUUCCUUUCGUCGGUUUGAUCUAUCGUCUUUUCUGUGCCGUGGAGCCGACUGUUUUCUAUGACGAUCUAAUUUGGCGGUGCAAGAUUAAUUUACUCUUUUCUAUGAUCAAAUUUGGCGGUGAAAGAAUAGUUUCGUUUUCGUGAUCAGAUUUGGCAGUGAAAGAUUAAUUUAUUUUUUUUUCUUGGUCAUGAAAUUUGGUGGUUAAAGAUCAAUUAAUUGUUAAUAAAUAAAUAUGACUUUUCUUGGGAAGGUAAACAUAUGAGGUAAAAAGCGUUUGAAAAGUUGGGUGGUUCAUGAGCGUAGUACCCAUUUCUUCCUUUAAUCAAAACGGAGUGCAAUGGAGUUUGUGACCCGAUCGUGUAGUUAAUUGCAAGAUCCAACGGCGUGAUCGUUUGUGUUCCAGACGCAAUUGGGUUGGGAGCUUGUGGAAGAAGGGUUUUGGAAAAUAAUGAAUCAUGUAAUCCUAGUCUUACGUUGUGUUAAUUAAUUUAAAGCUGUUUGGGCUUUGAACUAUCAGUUUUGACAAAAUGGAAGCCUCUAAAAUCUGGUGACAGGGAAACCCUAUGUGUUUUCUAUCGUGAGCACCUUUGUUGGGUUCGAGUUCCACCGAUCAAUCAACCUAGACAUUCAAACGCAGGUUCUUUCUUUGGAUUCUGUUCAUGUGGCGGCAUGUGACAUAACAUAACAGAGUAGUUUUGUCCCAAAAGAUGUAAUAGAAAU
rnacentral:lncRNA from 1 species